UACGUAGGGCGCAAGCGUUGUCCGGAAUUAUUGGGCGUAAAGAGCUCGUAGGCGGUGUGUCGCGUCGGCCGUGAAAACCUGCAGCUUAACUGUGGGCUUGCGGUCGAUACGGGCAUCACUGGAGUUCGGCAGGGGAGACUGGAAUUCCUGGUGUAGCGGUGAAAUGCGCAGAUAUCAGGAGGAACACCGGUGGCGAAGGCGGGUCUCUGGGCCGAUACUGACGCUGAGUGAGCGAAAGCCAGGGGAGCAAACGGG
rnacentral:rRNA from 1 species